CGUCCGCAGCCUCUCCACGAACGCGCCGUCCCCGACCCGCGGGCAGCCGAAGACGACGGCCGUCACGGGGAUGUCGGGGACGACGACGUUUUCGACGAGGUCGAACGCCGAGAGCACGGCCAGCGCCGCGCCCAGGCUGUGCCCCGUCACGACUAUGCUGAGGUUUUCAUCUUUGUAGAGACCUUGAAGUUGAAGAAUCUGGGCGCGGAGCUGAUCGCGGGCGCUGAGGGUUUGGGAUUGGGAAUUAGGGUUUGAGGAGGUGUAGAUUCUGACCAGCCGUCCAUGAUUGGGGCGGGGUCGGCGCGGGGUGAUGGCGGAGCGGGGACGGGCCGAGUGGCGUCGACCACUCGUGGCUGGUGCCGCGCCAGACGACGUAGACUCGCGGCGCGCCGGGGAGGUGGAGGGGAGGUGGCGACGUAGCCAUGAAGCUGGUCUCGCGUGGGAGGGGAUGUCGAGGGUGGCGGUGGCGUAGAGGAAGGAGGAGAUCUGGUAGGCGGAGGCGGAGGGGAACUUGACCUUGUGGAAGAAGGAUUUCUCGCCGUAGCGGGAGGAGCCGGCGUAGGGGGAGUUGUCGUCGUCGUCGAAGGAGUCGUAGGUGCACUGGCAGAAGUCGCCGCAGAGGAGGAGGAAGCGGCGGAGGGAGAGGUCUAAGGGGUCCAGUAGGCCUUCCCAGUUGUUGCAGCCGAGGAGCUCCGCCCAUGACGGCGGCUCUGCUACGACAUCGUUAACGGUUUCUUCCAUGGCCUAAUUAUAAGUAUAUUUUGCUUGCGGAAAUGCUGUGGUUGAUAGUUGAUAUCACGAAAACGGUUAUGGAUAGCUAUAUACAUAGUGUUUCAAAAAAAGUAAAUUAACAUUUUUUUUUUUCGCGGUUGAAUUAGAUAUUUAUGUUAUUGAUCGAAUAAAUAUCUAAUUCCGGAGAUCGAGAUCCAAUAUCCCACAAUUUUAUGUGUACCCUAAUUGGGCUUAUAACGAGUAUGUGAAUUUUUUUGUUUAUUGUUACAUUUUGGUAGUACUAUAUAUAAAAUAAAAAGAGAGCGGACUUUAAAAAUGUCGGUUUUGAAAUAGUAGUAAAAAUAAAUUAAAGAUUGUCCAUUUAAAUAAUUUUUUUUAAAAAUAAGUCAUACUUACCGUUUUUAUCGUUGACAUAAAAAAAUUUAAAAAUUAUCCAUUAAUUAUCCAUUUUAAUUACCAUUGUGUUACGAAAUGGGACACAAUUAGAAACUUUGAUAUAUAUGUGAAAAUGAUGUUUUGAGUUUAUGUGAAAAUGUGAAUGGUAUGUUUCCAAUAAACUAGGUGGAGAUUGAAUAGCAUGUGGAACGAGAUAAGAUAAGGAUAAUAUAACUUAACUAUAUAUAUAUAAUAAAAAAAAACUUAGCUAUAUAUUUUUGGACGUCAAUAGAAAGUAAAAUUAGGUUGCGAAACUCGAACAAAAUAUUAUAAAAUAAAAUGAUGGAACUCAAAACAUUUUGGCGCAUACAUGCCACAAAAAUUAAAUAUUAGGACCAUCUAGACAUCACGUUUUUUAACUUCGAAUAAGCAUAUGUACAGUAUUUGGAAUUUUGGAGCACACAACAUAAUCAUGGCGCAAGUAUUAUGCGUUAAUUAACUUUAUUUGCAAUAUGCUCAACUCUUUUUUUUUUUUUUUUUGAAUUUGGAAGAAAACUUUAUCGAUGAAUCUCACAAAAACACCCGGGAAGCGGAAGACCAACCACAAAAGGGGGCGUGGCUCAGUCCACACAUAAGGGAUAAUGUGAUUUAAAGCAUUACGAGCAAUAUAAUGAGCUAAAACAUUAACCUCUCUACUGAUAUGUGUAAUCGGAAAAGAGUUAUUCUCAAUAAACAUGAUCUUACAUGUUUCUAUUAUUCCUCCAAACUCCGACCUAUUCAUAUCUGAAUCUGAGGAAUUGACAACAUCCACCACAUCUUGCUGUCCAUCUGAAACACCACUUGACCAAGGCCUAAACUUUUUAUCCACGACAACACGCAUGCAACCAUGAAAACACCGAGCUCUAGCUUGCACCAGAACAACAACGGAUCUAGCAUAGAACAUGGGGUACAACUGCAAUCCCCAAAAAAUAAAAAAUAAAAUAAUAGUAUUAAUAUUUUUUAUAUGUAAAUUAUUUUAGAUUUAGUUUUUGCACCCUAAUUAAAAAUAUAACCUCAAAGAAAUAUAUAAGCUCAAUUUUAAAACAAAUCCUAAACUUCAAAAUUAAACAAUAUUUGGGGAUGUUUAUGUUUAUUAUUAAAUAUUUUUUAAAUUUAUGAUCAUGUAAUUAUUUAUCGCACCCCCGAUUUAAAUAUUCUGGAUCCGCCACUGCACCAGAACUCCACCCUCAUUUCACAGCACAAAUUCCUACUCCUGUCCGAUUUUCGCAGCAAAUAUUUCUCCAAUCUCUUAUCAAACCAGCUUGUGAAAGCCGAAAAUAACUAAAACGAAAAGAAGUUACUCCAACUUGAUAUAUAUCUUUUCGUUCUGAUUAAUGCUCUAAGUUCAAGUUAAUUUUUGGUUUCAAAUGGUCUAUCAUUGUAAUUAGGUUUGUGUUAUUCUAAAUUUAAGGAUGUUUACUCUGCAUGAUUAAUGAUAAAUGCACGAUUUAGUAUUUUUAUUAAUAGGAUUUUUCCAAUUCCACCUUUUUAAUGGAAUAAAAAUCAAACAAAUUUAGAUUAAAUGAUAGAAAUAGGAUAUUGAGAUAUUCUAAAGUUUCAAUCCAUCAAAAUAAAUAAAGGAUUAAUCUUAUUAUUUUUGUCUGGCUCUCAAGAUUAAUCUUUUAAAGUAAACGCCCCUAAGAUAAUUUUCAAUGUCAGAUAAUUAGUCUAGAUGGUGGUGCAUGUAGUUAAUGGAAUAAAGAGGAGUUUUAUAUGUUAAUUAGUAACUAUAAUUUGGUUGUACAUGUCUCUUUUAUUUCUUUUUGUUUGUUAUUGUUAAUGUAUAUAUAUGUAUUUCUUUAAACAAUUAAAAUACUGAGUGUUUACUUUUCAAGAUUAAAUAUUUCAUUCUUGUUCUCUAAACCCACUUUUUCAAUGUGAUAAAAAUCAAAUAAAAUUAGCUUAAAUAAUUGAAAUAAUUAAGAACAUUUGAAUAUCCCAAAUUAAGUUCCAAUAAAUAAGAAUUAACUUUAAUAUUUUUAUCUAACAAGAUUAAUCUUCAAAAAUAAACUCCCCUUAUUGAUGGAGUGUUCGAGUCAGCUUCAUCAUUGUUGAAGGCGUGGCUUGGCAGAAGUCGCCGUAGCGGAGGAUGAGGCGGCGGAGGUCAAGGUUUAGGGGCUCCAAGUAGGCCGCUCCAGUCGUUGCUGCCGAGCAGCUCCGGCCACGGUGCCGCCGCUUCUGCGUUUGUUGACGCCUGAGUUUCUUCCAUGGCUAGCUAGAAUUGUUUGAUUAAUUUGUGAUCGGAAUUUUUGAAUUUAAUAAGAAAGAUAUGAGACAAGUAGGAAUUGAAGAAGAUAUGUUCAUUGGAGGAUAGGGUUGUGUGAGUGUUGUGUGGACCAUUCAUGCAUUCCAAUUAGUGUAAAGGAUAGUUAAUGAGAUUAUGUGUGAAGUGAAUAGGAAAAUAUUUUACUCCCUCCAUACCUAUCUUGAGACAUUUUUUUUUGGGCGUCCCAUCUAUUUCGAAACAUUUAUAUAUUUGGCAAAAAUUUUACUUUUUAUUCAUCUUUUCACUUUUUUUUCUAUACACAAAAUAAUACUUUCUUAAUUUUCGUGUAAAAAAAAGGUCUCAAGAUAGUCGAGACGGAGGGAGUAUAUAUAAACGGACCAAAAAAUAGAGUUAGAAAGAUGAUGAUUGUGAACGUUCAGCGUGAGUAAUAGACUAAUAGUUACAGCCAGGCCCAAGAUGAGAACAUGUUUUGGAGGCCCAAACACAUUUAUAACUAUAUAUGCAUUAAGAUCCAAAUGAAGAUCAACAUGCAAGUAUCAGGGUACAAAAGUUCAAUCAGCUAGGCCAUUUUAAUUUGGGGCCUGCCCCCUAAAUAUGUAUGUGUAUACACAUCUAUACACUAUAUUAUUAAAUUUCUUUCGUCGACAAAAACAAAAUUUUCUCAUGCCUAUAAAUUACUUAUAAUAAAUUUGUAAUAUAUAUUUGUUAUAUAUGAAUCCAUAUAUCCUUAAAAAAAGAUUAUUUUAUUUUGUAUUGAUCGUAAAUUCAUAAAUUUUUUCCGCUAUGCCUGUAUGCUCCUCCAGGUCGUUGGAGGCCAAAUCAAUUAUUUUUUCCGCGAUAAGUUGAGAGUCAAAACUAAUUUUAAUGAUAAUAAAGAGUCCACUUUUGUAGCACUUAUUUUCCCUCUAGAAUUAAGAUGUUGAUUUAGAGGGUGUUUGGCUGGCCUUAUACGUUCUUUAAAAUAGCUUAUAAGUUGUUUAAAGGUUUAUAAGCUUCUUCAAAAUAUUUGGCAAAAUAAGCUCCUAAUUAUAAGCGGUAAAAUUAAACUUUAAGAGCGCUCCCCAAAAAAUAAGUUCUUCUAUCCCAACUUAUUUUCUCAUUUUCUUAUAAGCAACACUCAUUUUACAAAAAUAACUCAACUACGUAUGAUUUUUUAUUUUCAUUAUAUAUCAUUCUAAUUUUAUCUCUUUUCGAUUUUCUCUCUCUAAAAAAAAAUUAUUUUUCUAGCUUAUAUGUAAGCUCAAUUAUCCAAAACACUUUGACAACUUAUAAGAUCUUAAAAACUAGUACAUCUUAUAAAUUCUUGAAAUAUCUUAUAACUUAUAAGCUCCAAGAACUUAUAAGCUUUUUAAAAUAAACUUAGCCAAACACCCUCUUAGUCGAACGAUAGAAAGUUCAGUUUUUUCUAAGUAGAACUCCAACUUAUUCCACAAGCCACAGCAAACUCAAAAUUCAGCCAUUUUCAUUUAUGCAACUUCAAGAAAAUUUCACUAUAAAUACCCCUCUCUCUCAAUACAUUUUGCACCACCAUCUUCUUAAAUUUGUAGUUUUAGUACUCAAAUAAUUAAGUAAAGCAAUUUGUAGUUUUAGUCUCAAUAUUUUUUAUGAUUUAUUGUGCUAUAUAUUUUUAGCAUAGUUAACUUUAAUUUGCAGCAGCACAAACUAUGCAUGUAGUUGGAGACAGCAUAGGAUGGGAUAUUCCCCCAAAUACUUCUAGGAGUGAGCAAAAUCCGGUUAAAUCCGAAAAUCCGAACCGAACCUAACCGAAAUACUAAUUCGGUUCGGUUAAUUUGGUUUUCGGUUCGGGUUUGGUUUUGAAUUUUGAAAUUUUCGAUUUUUCGGUUCGGUUAUGGUUUUUAUGAAAAAAUGUUUGGUUAACCGAAAACCGAACCGAAAUAAUAAUUAAUUUAAUAAUUUAUAUGUAUUAUUUAAAAAUUAAAAUGAUUAUUAUUACUACUAUAUAAAAUAGUCAAUAAUUACUCUUAAUCUCGGUCAAUUUAAAAAAAAAAAAACUUUUCAAUAAUUACUCUUAAUUUAUACUCUUAAUCUUUGGUUAAGAUGUUUUGAAAUUUUGGAUUAUUAUUUUUUAGGGAUUUCGAAUCUUGUAUAUUGAAUGUUAAUUAGUUAUUUAAACUUUAAAAAAUAUAUUGUGUAUUUAUUUCGGUUAUUUGGUUUUAACCGAAACCGAACCGAAAUAUUUCGGUUCGGAUUUGGAUAUUAAUUAUAUAAUUCGGUUUUAAGUUGGUUUUUGUUAUUCGGUUCGAUUCGGUGACCGAAUAACCGAAUGCUCACCCCUAAAUACUUCUGCCUCAUAUUCCAAUUGGGCUUCAGCCAAAACAUUCAUGGUUGGUGACAUCCUAGGUACAUACAUGUAUAUCUCUCUCACCGUGCUUUCAAAGGUUUAGAUUCUUUUUUUCCUUUUCUUUUUUAAUGCAACCUCUAUUUGAUUCAAUAGCAACAAAAUUAAAAAUUAGUUAAUAGAACACUUACAAGUAUUCUAUUAGAGCAUGUGAGUGGUUGAUUGACAAGUUUUGUGAUUAUAAAUAUACACUUGAUAAAAUCGACCUACCUAUACUGACAUGUUAUAUUAAAUUAUUUAAUUAUCUAGUGUUCAACUAACCAGCAUGACGUAGUCCAAGUGCCCAAAGCUUCCUACGAUGAUUGCUGCCAUCGGCAACGUACGUCAUCAUCGCCGGACCAGCGAAUAUCACCCUCAACUCUGCCGGCGACCGCACACAAAUUGAUUGAUUAAUUAUUAUACAAAAGUAAGUAGAACAUAUACCAGAAAAACCAUUUACUAUUAUUUUCUUAAAAAAAUAUUAUUUUAUUUAGGGUUAAUUGAUUAAAUAAAUUCAUAAAUUUUUAAUGAUUUUUUUUUUUUUGCAUGCUCUAUUAAGUUGUGAAUAAAUACAUGAACUUGGAUAAUUACCCAAAAUUAAGAUUUUAUCCGAUGAGAUUUUAUUAAAAGUCAUGUCGCUUCCCCAUAUAAAGGUAUUUCAGAGAUGGAAAUGAGUACUAAUUUAUGGAUAUAACCAAUUAGCAUUUUUUUUUUUUAUAAAUUACAUAACUAAAUACAGAAAUUUAAAGACUUUUUUUUUAUUUUCUUGAUAAAUUACAUAAGUAAAUAAAAAAAUUUAAAGACUUUUUUUUUCAUUUUUUGAUAAAUUACAUAACUAAAAGUAAUCAUUGUUAACUAUUUGGUCAAGUAAUCAUUGUCGCAACAAAAAGUAAUUAUUGUUACAAUAAAAUGUAAUAUUCAUAAAGUAUUACAUUUAUUCACGAUAAGUGUUACUUUUAUUCAUGAGAACUUGUACAACUACACAUAAGUAUACAUUUGUGCGAAUAAAUGUAUAUCUUAUGCUAUUAAAAGUAACCAGUCGCAUACUAUGCGACCGGCCACAUGCAAGACCAACCCCAGAAAUUUAAAGAGCGUACGACGAAGGACUCAAACCCACAAGACUUCAAGUCUUGGACAUUAACCUCUUGCCGUACGUUAGGGCAUCACGCGCGCGCAUUAGCACGUUUAUUUAUUAGUAAUACAAAGCAUGAACGAAACAUACAAAUUAUUACGACACGUACGAUUAUGCAAUAGAAACACAAAUUGGCAAUAGUAGAGGAUAUGAUCACUCCGGCACGGCGGGGCAAUCGUCGUCGUCGUCGUCGAGCGGCGGCUUCAACACCCACUCCCCGUCCUGAUCAAGCAUCAUCCCCUUAUUCUCCGCCACCCACCACGACGCCGGGAUCUGACACUCUUUAGUCAGUAAGUUACUCGCCUUAUUCACCAACGCCAAGCUCCUCUUCACCACCACCUCGAACUCCCCCUCCUCCCCGUGCCACCCCGCCACCGCGUGCAGUAUCCCCCUGCAAAUUAUGAAAGUCCCCAGAUUAUCCGUCGGAGUCAGCGACGGCGACUUGCUGCCGUCGACCACCAGCUCCACGCCGGCCGCCGUGUACCCGAAUCCGAACGGGAGGUUCGGAACAAUGUCGAGCAAGUUCUUCGUGUGCAGGAUCUUCAGGUUCGGGUGCGUCCCGAGCCUCUCCACGAACGCGCCGUCCCCGACCCGCGGGCAGGCGAAGACGAUGGCCGUCACGGUGAUGUCGGGGACGACGUUCUCGACAAGGUCGAACGCCGAGAGCACGGCCAGCGCCGCGCCCAGGCUGUGCCCCGCCACCACUAUGCUGAGGUUUUCAUCUUUGUAUUGAUCCCGAAGUUGGAGAAUCUGGGCGCGGAGCUGCUCGCGGGCGCUGAGCUUUCCGAAUUGGGAAUUAGGGUUUGAGGAGGUGUAGAUUCUGACCCAGCCGUCCAUGACAUUGCCGGGGGCGUCGGGGGUGAUGGCGGACGCGGGGACGGGCACGAUGUCCGCGUC
rnacentral:lncRNA from 1 species